UACGUAGGUGGCAAGCGUUGUCCGGAGUUACUGGGCGUAAAGCGCGCGCAGGCGGCGGUAUAAGCAUGGCGUGAAAGCCCCAGGCUCAACCUGGGAGGGUCGUCGUGGACUGUACCGCUUGAGGGCGGUAGGGGCUGGUGGAAUGCCUGGUGUAGUGGUGAAAUGCGUAGAGAUCAGGCGGAACACCCGUGGCGAAGGCGGCCAGCUGGGCCGUCCCUGACGCUGAGGCGCGAAGGCGUGGGGAGCGAACGGG
rnacentral:rRNA from 1 species